rnacentral:lncRNA from 1 species
CUGAGACCACCACCAUUCUGGGGGCAAGCGUGUUCAUGCAGGUUCUGUUGUCGGUUUUGGGGAGGCGGUGUGCUUUGGCAGCUGGGCGCCCCUGCAGUUGCUGCUGGGUCACUGUUGGGGCUGCUGCUUUGCUGCUGCUGCUGCCGUGGAGCAUUGAUGUUGCUGCUCCUCCUUGCAGCAUCAGUGCGAGGCGUUGGUGUGAGGGUUAGAACUUUGUUCGACCCUGCUUGUGGGCCGGUGGUCGGCAGGGGAAGUGCGGGGCGUGGCUGUUGUGUCGGCUGCCUAUCGCUGCCUCCUGCGCCUGGCCUUGCCUUCUCCUUGCUGCCCUGGAGUGGCCAAACUGGACGGACUGGAGUGGCAGCCGGCUGGUGGAGGUGUUGCCCAGCUGCUACUAGUGCCCAGCUGGACAGGCCGCCCUCGCUGAGGAUCUGGGCUUGCUGCUGUUACCAUCGUUGCAACAGAGGGAAGGAAAGGGAAGGGUGCAUGUGCCACCUUUGGCGUUUAGCCUCCAACAACAUUCUGGUGAAACUUUGACUGCUUCCCUGGGCUGGAAGAGGAUUGGAUUUGGAAUAACUAUGCGGGAUUGUAUUGAAGGUGAGUCAGAAACUGUAUGUAGUGCAAAAUGCAGCAGCCAUGGAACACUGAAUAGAGGCCACAUAAAGCUGCUUAUGUGGCCACAUAACACUGCUUUAAAAGCAAUUGCAUUGGCUCUCAACAUGCUUCUAGUUUAAAUUCAAGAUGCUGGUGAUAACCUUUAAAAUACCUUGAGAUGUUAAUACUGCAGAGACUACUUUGCUCCUCAAAUAUCCCUACCUAAGAAGUGAAGAGGCCUCCUCUCAGUGGUGGGGAAAUAGAGGGGUGUAGUACAUGACUUUCUCGGCUAUGACACUCUAGUUAUGGAAUAUCCCUCCCUCAGAGGCAUCAAUAGUAAUGUGAUUCUGGGGCUAAGUCAAAAUAUGCUUUUUAUUAAAGUCUUCAAGCUCUUAUUAAUUUUAUUCAAUUUACACACGUGCUGGCAUUAUUUUAAAUUGUUUUAAGUGGUUUUAAAUUGUUUGGUUUUAGGUGACAGAUACAAUUUCAGUCUUUUAAAAUUAUUGUUAUUGCCAUUUGUACUCCUAUACCAAUUUUAUUUUCUCCUGAGAGCCCCAAAUAUUGAACAAGACAUAUUUUAAUAACUAACUAAUUCACCCUCCAGAAUUCAAAAAUUUAGAAACAGAGAAU